AUACGGAGGGUGCAAGCGUUAUCCGGAAUCAUUGGGUUUAAAGGGUCCGUAGGCGGACUAUUAAGUCAGAGGUGAAAUCCCACAGCUCAACUGUGGAACUGCCUUUGAUACUGGUAGUCUUGAGUUAUAUGGAAGUAGAUAGAAUGUGUAGUGUAGCGGUGAAAUGCAUAGAUAUUACACAGAAUACCGAUUGCGAAGGCAGUCUACUACGUAUAUACUGACGCUAAGGGACGAAAGCGUGGGGAGCGAACGGGAUUAGAAACCCCAGUAGUCC
rnacentral:rRNA from 1 species